rnacentral:rRNA from 1 species
GACAGAGGGUGCAACCGUUGUUCGGAAUUACUGGGCGUAAAGCGCGUGUAGGCUGCUCUGCAAGUCGGAUGUGAAAGCCCUGGGCUCAACCUAGGAAGUGCACUCGAAACUGCAGAGCUGGAGUCCUGGAGAGGAAGGCGGAAUUCUCGGUGUAGAGGUGAAAUUCGUAGAUAUCGAGAGGAACACCGGUGGCGAAGGCGGCCUUCUGGACAGUGACUGACGCUGAGACGCGAAAGCGUGGGGAGCAAACAGG